GCUCCAGCUUUAAGAGGAGUUAAGAACUCUACCUUUUUUGCAAGGAAAUCUUGGAAAGGAUCAAGAGCCGAGAGAAGGUUUUUGAAGAUGAGACCUGCCUUUAUAUUGUGACCACAGGGCUCAGCUGAUGGAGCUGGAGUGUCUGUCAUCCGUUUAUGGUUUCGCAGAUCAGAGAGCUGAUCAUGAAGAUGACAGCUUCCAACAUGUUUGAGAGAACUUCAGACUAUUCCUGGGCUAAAUGGAAGAGAAGUCUGGCUUGCUGAGAGUAGGAUCAGCAAAUUUUGGUUUGAGCAUCUUCGCACCAGGUCAAAACUCCCAAGACAGAAGGAGGAAGAGCUCCUCCUAAAAGAAUAUCUAUAGGAGAAUACCCUUUGCUACUUGAUGACCAGGAAGAACACUUCCACCUGCAUUUGGGACUUCAAGCAUUUUCAAGGUAACUAAUUACUCAGGUUGUCCUAAAAUCACCUGCACAUUGCAUCGUCUCAAUUUCGUCAGCUUGGACUGCAGUUACUUAAAAAUCACCAUCUAUUUUGAAAUCU